UUUCCGUAGGUGAACCUGCGGAAGGAUCAUUAUUGGAUUUUGAAACUUCAGGCUGCUGCUGGCUCUCCUCGGAGGGCAUGUGCACGCUUGUUGUCCAUUAUUUCUCCCACUGUGCACAAAUUGUAGACCUAUCAGUAGGCCUAUGUUGUUUUUCACAAUCUCUGAAUGUAAUAGAAUGGUUUUGAAUCUUGGGAAAUACAAUACAACUUUCAGCAACGGAUCUCUUGGCUCUC
rnacentral:misc_RNA from 1 species